GUCUUCGGAGUGAAACGGUAGCACACUCGACGCGUAUUCGAAAGGUCCAGGUUCGAGUCCUAGCGACGGCA
rnacentral:tRNA from 1 species